CCUACGGGAGGCAGCAGUGGGGAAUAUUGGACAAUGGGGGGAACCCUGAUCCAGCCAUGCCGCGUGUGUGAAGAAGGCCCUCGGGUUGUAAAGCACUUUCAGUGAGGAAGAACGCCUGGUGGUUAAUACCCAUCAGGAAAGACAUCACUCACAGAAGAAGCACCGGCUAACUCCGUGCCAGCAGCCGCGGUAAUACGGAGGGUGCGAGCGUUAAUCGGAAUUACUGGGCGUAAAGCGCGCGUAGGUGGCUUGAUAAGCCGGUUGUGAAAGCCCCGGGCUCAACCUGGGAACGGCAUCCGGAACUGUCAAGCUAGAGUGCAGGAGAGGACGGUAGAAUUCCCGGUGUAGCGGUGAAAUGCGUAGAGAUCGGGAGGAAUACCAGUGGCGAAGGCGGCCUUCUGGACUGACACUGACACUGAGGUGCGAAAGCGUGGGUAGCAAACAGGAUUAGAUACCCUUGUAGUC
rnacentral:rRNA from 1 species